UACGUAGGGACCAAGCGUUGUUCGGAUUUACUGGGCGUAAAGGGCGCGUAGGCGGCGUGGUAAGUCACUUGUGAAAUCUCUGAGCUUAACUCAGAACGGUCAAGUGAUACUGCUGUGCUAGAGUGCGGAAGGGGCAAUCGGAAUUCUUGGUGUAGCGGUGAAAUGCGUAGAUAAUCAAGAGGAACACCUGAGGUGAAGACGGGUUGCUGGGCCGAACACG
rnacentral:rRNA from 1 species